rnacentral:lncRNA from 1 species
UUGCAGUGAGCUUGUGCACUGAGAUUGUGCCUCUGCCUUCCAGCCUUGGUAACAGAGCCAGACCCUGUCUCAAAAAAAAAAAAAAAAGAAAAAAGGAAAGAAAAAUGAAAUUAGUUCUAAUCUAUUUUAUUUAACCCAAAUAUAAUCAAAGUUUUUUAUUUUGACAUAGAAACAAUGUAAAAAUCAUUGAAAUAUUUUCCAUUUGUUUUUUGUAUGCAGUAAAUGAAAUCAGGUGUGUAUUUUUUACUUACAUCUCAAUUUGGUCUGUACAUUUAUUACUUUUUAACUUUUAGGUUCGCGGACACAUGCACAGGUUUGCUAUAUAUAGGUAAACUCGUAUCACAGGGAUUUUUUUAUACAGAUUAUUUUGUCACCCACGUAUUAUGCCUAGUACCCAGUAGUUAUUUUUUCUGCUCCCUUCCAUCCUCCAACCCUCCACCCUCAAGGAGGCCCUAGUGUCUGUAGUUCCCUUUUUUGUAUUCAUGAGUUCCCAUCAUUUAGCUCCCACUUAUAAGUGAGAACACGCAGUAUUUGGUUUUCUAUUCCUGGAUUAGUUUGCUAAGGAUGAUGGCUGCAGGUCCAUCCAUGUUCCUGCAAAAGACAUGAUCUCAUUCUUUUUUAUGGCUGUAUAGUAUUCCAUGGUAUAUAUGUACCACAUUUUCUUUAUUCAAUCUGUCAUUGAUGGGCAUUUAGGUUGAUUUCAUAUCUUUGCUAUUGUGGAUAGUGCUGCAAUGAACAUUUACGUGCAUGCGUGGUCUGUACUUUUCAAGUGCUCAGUUGUCACAUGUGGCUGGCCGCUGCAUUGGACAGCACACGUGUAGGGUGAUUCAUAUAGAUGUUUGAGAACCACAGUCUUAGGGUAAGAGAGGUACUACAUAUGUGAUAUACAGU